UGGGGAAUAUUGCACAAUGGGCGCAAGCCUGAUGCAGCCAUGCCGCGUGUGUGAAGAAGGCCUUCGGGUUGUAAAGCACUUUCAGCGGGGAGGAAGGCGGUGAGGUUAAUAACCUCAUCGAUUGACGUUACCCGCAGAAGAAGCACCGGCUAACUCCGUGCCAGCAGCCGCGGUAAUACAGAGGGUGCGAGCGUUAAUCGGAUUUACUGGGCGUAAAGCGUGCGUAGGCGGCUUAUUAAGUCGGAUGUGAAAUCCCCGAGCUUAACUUGGGAAUUGCAUUCGAUACUGGUGAGCUAGAGUAUGGGAGAGGAUGGUAGAAUUCCAGGUGUAGCGGUGAAAUGCGUAGAGAUCUGGAGGAAUACCGAUGGCGAAGGCAGCCAUCUGGCCUAAUACUGACGCUGAGGUACGAAAGCAUGGGGAGCAAACAGGAUUAGAUACCCUGGUAGUCCAUGCCGUAAACGAUGUCUACUAGCCGUUGGGGCCUUUGAGGCUUUAGUGGCGCAGCUAACGCGAUAAGUAGACCGCCUGGGGAGUACGGUCGCAAGACUA
rnacentral:rRNA from 1 species